CGAGUCAACAUAGCAAUAUGUGGCAUACGGCUCAGUAACACGUAGUCAACAUGCCCAGGGGACGUGGAUAACCUCGGGAAACUAAGGAUAAACCGCGAUAGGUCAUCACUUCUGGAAUGGGUAAUGACUUAAAUCUAUAUGGCCCCUGGAUUGGACUGCGGCCGAUCAGGCUGUUGGUGAGGUAAUGGCCCACCAAAUCUGUAACCGGUACGGGCUCUGAGAGGAGGAGCCCGGAGAUGGGCACUGAGGCAAGGGCCCAGGCCCUAUGGGGCGCAGCAGGCGCGAAACCUCUGCAAUAGGCGAAAGCUUGACAGGGUUACUCUGAGUGAUUUCCGUUAAGGAGAUCUUUUGGCACCUCUAAAAAUGGUGCAGAAUAAGGGGUGGGCAAGUCUGGUGUCAGCCGCCGCGGUAAUACCAGCACCCCGAGUGGUCGGGACGUUUAUUGGGCCUAAAGCAUCCGUAGCCGGUUCUACAAGUCUUCCGUUAAAUCCACCUGCUUAACAGAUGGGCUGCGGAAGAUACUAUAGAGCUAGGAGGCGGGAGAGGCAAGCGGUACUCGAUGGGUAGGGGUAAAAUCCGUUGAUCCAUUGAAGACCACCAGUGGCGAAGGCGGCUUGCCAGAACGCGCUCGACGGUGAGGGAUGAAAGCUGGGGGAGCAAACCGGAUUAGAUACCUGGGUAGUCCCAGCUGUAAACGAUGCAGACUCGGUGAUGAGUUGGCUUAUUGCUAACUCAGUGCCGCAGGGAAGCCGUUAAGUUUGCCGCCUGGGGAGUACGGUCGCAAGACUGAA
rnacentral:rRNA from 1 species